GAUGAACGCUGGCGGCGUGCCUAAUACAUGCAAGUCGAACGCGCAGCGAAAGGUGCUUGCACCUUUCAAGCGAGUGGCGAACGGGUGAGUAACACGUGGAUAACCUGCCUCAAGGCUGGGGAUAACAUUUGGAAACAGAUGCUAAUACCGAAUAAAACUUAGUAUCGCAUGAUACAAAGUUAAAAGGCGCUACGGCGUCACCUAGAGAUGGAUCCGCGGUGGAUUAGUUAGUUGGUGGGGUAAAGGCUUACCAAGACGAUGAUGCAUAGCCGAGUUGAGAGACGGAUCGGCCACAUGGGGACUGAGACACGGCCCAAACUCCUACGGGAGGCUGCAGUAGGGAAUCGUCCACACUGGGCGCAAGCCUGAUGGAGCAACGCCGCGGGUGUGAUGAAGGCUUUCGGGUCGUAAAGCACUGUUGUAUGGGAAGAAAUGCUAAAAUAGGGAAUGAUUUUAGUUUGACGGUACCAUACCAGAAAGGGACGGCUAAAUACGUGCCAGCAGCAGCCGCGG
rnacentral:rRNA from 1 species